rnacentral:rRNA from 1 species
UACGAAGGGGGCUAGCGUUGUUCGGAAUCACUGGGCGUAAAGGGUGCGUAGGCGGGUCUUUAAGUCAGGGGUGAAAUCCUGGAGCUCAACUCCAGAACUGCCUUUGAUACUGAGGAUCUUGAGUACGGGAGAGGUGAGUGGAACUGCGAGUGUAGAGGUGAAAUUCGUAGAUAUUCGCAAGAACACCAGUGGCGAAGGCGGCUCACUGGUCCGGUACUGACGCUGAGGUGCGAAAGCGUGGGGAGCAAACAGGG